CUUUCCUCCCUUUUCUCUUCAUCCAUUUCUCCUUCUCAUCCUCUUCCUCCUCUAAACCCGUCCAUGAGUCCUACUCCUUUAUGAUGACCCCCUCCACAUCCGCUCCUCAUUGGCAACCCAUCCUUCCUUCUUCUUUUCCUCCUUAUUUGUUUCUCCUCUUCCAUGAUGGUUUUCUUCACCUCCAUCCAUUCCUCUGCCUUCUUUUCUUCCUCCUCAUCAUUUCUCCUCCUCAUCCUCCUCCUUUUAGUG
rnacentral:lncRNA from 1 species